rnacentral:rRNA from 1 species
UGGGGAAUAUUGGACAAUGGGGGCAACCCUGAUCCAGCAAUGCCGCGUGAGUGAUGAAGGCCUUCGGGUUGUAAAGCUCUUUUGGCGGGGACGAUGAUGACGGUACCCGCAGAAUAAGCCCCGGCUAACUUCGUGCCAGCAGCCGCGGUAAUACGAAGGGGGCUAGCGUUGUUCGGAAUUACUGGGCGUAAAGGGCGCGUAGGCGGUCCUGAUCGUCGGAUGUGAAAGGCCUGGGCUCAACCUGGGAACUGCAUCCGAUACGGCGGGACUGGAGUGUGGGAGAGGUUGGUGGAAUUCCCAGUGUAGAGGUGAAAUUCGUAGAUAUUGGGAAGAACACCGGUGGCGAAGGCGGCCAACUGGACCACAACUGACGCUGAGGCGCGAAAGCGUGGGGAGCAAACAGGAUUAGAUACCCUGGUAGUCCACGCUGUAAACGAUGCGUGCUAGACGUUGGGAGACCUAGUCUCUCGGUGUCGUCGCUAACGCUUUAAGCACGCCGCCUGGGGAGUACGGCCGCAAGGUUAA